AAGCAAGUAGUGAAAGUGAACACUAAGAGAAUAAAGACAAGCUGGAACCCACAGACAAAGCUGUGGCAGUUUUUACUGUCUUCUACCUAAACGAUGUGGGUGUCCUACAGAGGUUGGUGCCGUUUGUGGUGUUGCUAAGCACACACAUAGCCCAGGAGCUGGAAGAGCUGGAGGAGAUCUUGGGGAAAGGAGAGGAGCUACAGGCCUAUCUACUGAGCCAUGCCAACAAGAACCAGCAGGAGAGAUGGGGUUUCACUAUGUUGACCAGGCUGGUCUCGAACUCUUGACCUCAUGAUCCACCUCCUUGGCCAAAGAUUCAAGUCAGUGCAAUAAAAAAAGUACAUUUCUGAUCACAUCUCCAUUUCUUCAACAUUUACGUAUUUUCAUUUCCAAGAUAUUCCAUACAGCAUGAAUCCAUGAAGAAUUAGGCUUCGACUAAGAUUCUUUCUACAUUGAUCUCUUGAGUUUAGCAAAGGGAGCCUAUAAACGAGCUGCUUUCCCUGAUGUCAGCACUGAAACUCGAGAAACAAGUUUCUCUGAAAUCUCUGGAUCAUCUUACAUUCUGGCAAUUUCUACCUUCUGUUAAUGAAGGUAGUCGUCUCUUUCCAACUAGAUGGGAACACAGACUCCUGAGAAGCCACACCUUAAAAUUGAGGACAGAAGUGUGUGAGACCAGGUACUCCAACCCCUACCCGCAACCACACACACAGAGGAAACCAGGAAUCCACAACAGCAUACCAACCUUGGCCUUCAGGUUCUCUCUCCUCCUGGGCCCUCAGGAGAACCCACGGAUUUGCUUUAGCCCCAACAUGCAAAGGGAGAAUUUGGGCAAAAAGACUUCAAGGCAUCUUGCAGAGGUGGUAGGCCUCUAUAUAAGACUUUAAACUCCUACAGAUGUGGAUUUGGAUCAGCAUGAUCUAAUUAUUCUGGCUAUUGACUCCUCAUCAAUCUACAUGGUGGCCAUAAAUUCUAGAUAUAGUCCACAUGGUGUAGUGGGCAAGUAUUUUCAGCGACGAUACUGUGUUUAUGGAGGCCGCUGCGGAUGUGAACACAGCAAGCCACUGAAACGGGAAGAAGCAACCGCUACAGAUCUAACUACAAAAUCAUCCCUUGCUGCUUCUUCAAGUCUCUCAUUCAUAGUUGGACCGCUUGUGGAAAUGAAUACAGGCGAAGCUGAGUCAGAUUCAAACUUUGCAACUGUAGGGGUGGGUUCAGAGGACUAGGUAGAUGCUGUUGAGUUCGUUCCUGGGCAACUCUGCUGCAGCUGUACUUCCCCUUUCUGCAGUGACCAAGGGAGAAUCAGAGAAAGAGCAAACAGCUGUGAUAACAAAGAAGCCACUUUGCCCCUAGGCUGCAGUGGGAGAGAUGGAAAUGGGUAGAACUAUGUGUAUCUCCACAGAGAGUCAUGUGAUCAUGUAAGCUGCAGGUCCUACCUCCAAUGGAUGCUGCCCAGAGACCACAGCAUAUAAAAAUCUUGCCCUGAGGCCCAUGAGAAGGAAAUGGAGCUCUCACUUGCUGUGCAGUGCAGCAAGGAUACGGUGUGUGGGAUCUGCAUGGAGGUGGUCUGUGAGAAAGCCAGCCCCAGUGAGCCUGGCUUUGGGAUCCUCUCCAGCUGCAGCCACGCCUACUGUCUCAAGUGUAUUCACAAGUGGAAGGGCACUAAGCUAUUUGAGAGCAAGAUCAUAGUGUCCUACCCAGAAUGCCGGAUCACAUCUAACUUUGUCAUUCCCAGUGAGUACCAGGUGGGAGAAAGAAGAGAAGCAGAAACUCAUCCAGAAAGUCAAAGAGGCGAUGAGCAGCCAGGCGUGCAGGGAUUUGGAUGAAGGACAGGAGAGCUGCCCAUCUUGGGGGAUGUGUUUUUACAAGCAGGUAUUCCCUGAUGGCCAUAGAAAGGAUACACAGAGACAGGCAAACAGAUACUGGGCCCAGUGAAGGAACCACAUCUGGGAGUUCAUUGAGGAAAGAGAAAAAUGACCCCUUUAACAACAAUGAAGAAGAGGUUGUCACCUUCGAGUUGGGUGAGAUGUUGCUUAUGCUUUUGGCAGUUGGGUACCAUGACAGACUUUGAAAAUGAGUGGGACUUGUUCCGUGAUGAUCUGGAAGAUUUUUAUGACUUGGCUCAAUAGCCACCUUGCAUGGCAUGUGAACUGGCCUGCUGACCUCAGACAGCAGCAGUCCCCUGUGGUGGUGUGACAGUGCCCGUGUUUCUCUCCUGGGCAGGCCUAUCAACUCCAGGUGCUGUCUUAAUAAUUUUUACCCAGGGCCUGUCUUCUCAAUCUGUGACCUUUCCCCAAGGAGUGUACUAUUUUCUCUGUGGAAAAAAGUUUCAAAAAUAAAUCCUGAAGUUAGUGUUUUGUAACAUGAAUUUAACAGACAGUUCGUAUAGGUGUGUUGUGUCAUCUGUUUGCAACCAGACUGUGUUUAUGGACUUCGCACGCUCAUUUUGAGGAGCCUAGGUUCGAAAGUAAAAGCUGUGGUGCUGCUUUGGGGUCCAAGGAGAGGAGUGAUGGGUGAAGGGAUGUGCGCUUCUAAAGAGCCUUCUGCUCCAACACAGGAUGUGGAUCCUUGAGGUUUCUGCUGAAAUCUGCACAUCUGUGUUUUUAUAUCUGUUCCCUACCCUGUAAUUCCCACCCUGUCCACUUGCUCUGUGGUUUUGGUCUCUUGCUUAAUUGUACACAAGUAAUACUACUGGGUAACCAGAACCAGGUGUGAAUGUGUUGAGAUUUCUACUGUCUGUUUUGUUUGUUGUUUGUUUUAGAUGGAGUCUCACUCUGCCACCCAGGCUCCCAGGCUGGAGUACAGUCACACGAUCUCAGCUCACUGCAACCUCCCCCUCCUAGGUUCAAGCAAUUCUCCUGCCUCAGCCUCCCGAGUAGCUAGGACUACAGGCAUGCACCACCACACCUGGCUAAUUUUUGUAUUUUUGGUAGAGACAGGGUUUUGCCAUGUUGGCCAGGCUGGUCUUGAACUCCUGACCUCAGCUGAUCCUCCCACCUCGACCUCCCAGAGUGCUGGGAUUACAAGCGUGAGCCAUCAUGCCUGGCCUUACCGUGUUUUGAAUGAUAGGAAAAUUGAGAAAGAAUGCAAAUAAAAGAUAGAGGGGCAUAAAAUCAAUGCAGAAUUGCAAGUUGACUCCCAAGAGCUUGGUGUGUGUGAGUGUGGGUAUGUGAUAAGCCUCCCAUCCCUGCAUAGAUGCAGUAUUCUUAGCCUUAGUAGGGAAACUUGGUUUAGUGGUUUAAGCCUUGUGUGGCAGAUAGAUUUUAAAGGACAAAGCAGUAUAUUGGUAGUUGUUAAUAUAGCAGUGCUAGCUCUGUCUGUCUAUAUAAAGAAAGAAAUAGGGUUAGCCAUGGAGUUAAAACUAUCUGGUUAUCCUACAUAUUAACACAAACUGGGGCUUGGAUACAGAAUUGUAUUUACUGUUUACAAUCUAGGCUUUCUAGUCCAGGCACUUUUUGAAAAACCUUUGUCCCCAUUCAAGGUGUUUUGUUGUUGAGUUUUUUGUGUUUGUUUUUGUGAGUAUUUGCAUAAUUCCACCUCUGAGCUUUCAAGUAGACAGAUGUGAUUCAAAACUACAUUCUAAGGUGUUUACUAUAGUGGAGUAAUUGGUCUACAGUAAUAAGUCACACUUUUCUACUAAAGGGGAGGAGAUGGCAAUCCCUGAGACAAGCUAAGUUAUUAAAAGAAUUUCUAUUGGAAAUUUUGCCUUUGUGCUUUGUCGCUCUGUUUCCUGAAAAUAACUUGGACCUGCUCCUGGUCUACCACUUGGUUCCUCGGAUCCCACUCAGUCUUUAACUUUAAGAAAAAAACAAGUAAUUGUUGCUGUUUCGUUUCGAAGGGAAGGUGAGGGUUAAAGAAAGACACGCAGAGAGAGUGGGUCUCAACAGCAACACAGGCAUAUUGCAAAAACAUGCAGAGAUGGGGGAUCAGCUUAAAGCCAGAGUCUACCACCACUUACAGGCUGGGGUACUUAUAGGUAUGGGCAGGAGGGGUCUGGGCCACUGGCUUGCUGCCCGGCAGGAUAUUGAUAAGAUGUACCUGUGGUCAAGCAGUUUGGCCCUUUUUCCAGUGGGAUGUGAUAAGAUGUUCCUCGGACCUUUGUUCAGCAGGAUGUGAUAGGGAUGUCUCUUCAGUUGGGCCCUUGCCCAGCAGGAUAUGAUAAGAAUAUUUCUCAUGAACCGAACCCCCGUGGAGUGUUUCACUUUGACCAAGGUCUGCGAAAUGGCAGGGGGCUACAAAAUGGUGCAGUUUGGACUAACAGUUGCCAAAGUCUCUGUAUUUUGCAGCCUCCCUUUUGUAAGAAGCACAUUUCCCAGGUAAAACAAAAAAACGUUUUUACAGAUGAUGCUUUUCAGUAUCUAUUAUGGAGUAUGACCACAAUGCACCAAUUUAAUAUUGGAAAAUGCCUAUUCUUCGUGGGUAUAUAUCAUUUCAUAGCAGGUAUUCAGAAGAGUAUUUUGUAAUUCUUCUAACAGUGUUUUAUUAAAUUCUUUAUUUUUCUAUUACCAUUUUAGUUUUGCAUUUCUUAGUUUCAAUUUAUUUAUGUUAUUCAUUAAAUAAGCUUUUAAUUAUUUACCAUUACUUCAUGUGGUGUCAUGCUUUUUUUUUUUUUUUUGAGAUGGAGUCUCGCUCUGUGGCCUAGGCUAGACUGCAGUGGCGUGAUCUUGGCUCACUGCAAGCUCCGCCUCCUGGGUUCAUGCCAUUCUCCCGCCUCAGCCUCCCCAGUAGUGGGGACUACAGGCACCCGCCACCAAGCCCAACUAAUUUUUUGUAUUUUUAAUAGAGUUGGGGUUUCUCCGUGUUAGCCAGGAUGGUCUCGAUCUCCUGACCUCGUGAUCUGCCUGCCUCAACCUCCCAAAGUGCUGGGAUUACAGGCGUGAGCCACAGCACCCGGCCUGGUGUCAUGCCUUAGCAGUUAUUCACAUGAAGUAAAAUUAUGCCAUAAAUAUACAUUUGUAUAAUAAUAUCCAUUUCUUAGUCAGAAGACCUGCCUAUGUCUACUGCCAAUUGGUGUGUGUUUUGGUUUGCUGGUGGAAAAAUACUCUUUCAGAGCACUUCUAAGGUUACGUAGUGUUGAGUGGCUUAUUCCUAGGGUGUUUGAAAGUAGGCUUCCCUUUAAAUAAUUUGAAAAGUAAUCAUCCUUUAUUUGAAAAUUAUAUUCAGUUUGUAUUCCUAUACGUGUGUAAACUUUGAGAACUUUUUAUCUCUUCAGUAUGUGUUAAUUUUAGUGUAAAAGUCAUCAUCCAACUUGAGUCAAUACAAAGUCUAUGGUACUUUAUAUCUUUCGGCUACCUGUGCUAGAUUUGUGAUCAAGGAAUUGUUACCAACAGGGUAGAUUAAUAAACGAGAGUUGUGCCAAAUUUUUUUUUUUUUUUUUUACCAAAAAUGGGAUAAACUGACAUUAUCCCACUGACCUAGCAUGAUAUACCAAGAAGAACACAACAUUCCUUAUAUAGGAUUCCUGCCAAGAAAUGUAUAACCUGAAUCAAAUUAUGAGGAAACACUCAGACAAACCCAAAUAAAGAAACAUUAUUCAAAACAACUGAUGCGUCCUCUUCAAAAUUAACAAUGUCUUGAAAGACAGAGAAAGGCCAAGGAACUAGAUUAAAGUGGUCUAAAUGAUAUGACAACUCUAUGUAAAAAUGAUCCUCAAUUGAACCCCAGAUCAGAAAAAAAAUUAUAAAGGAUAUUAUUAGAACAGUGGGUAAAAUUUGAAUAUGGUCUAGAUUUUAGAUAAUAAUAUUAUAUCUGUUUAAGUUCUUGGAUUUGAUCAUUGUGGUUAUGUUUAAAAUUUUUUGAUAAUUGUGGUUAUGUUUUUAAAAAUGCCCUUGUUCUAGGAGAUAUAUGCUAAAGUUUUAGAGGUGACAGUUCAUAUUUGUAACUUACCCUCAAAUGAUGAUGAGGAUGAGGAGAGAAACAGAAGACAGGGAGGUGGAUAUUUGCUGUUGGUGAAUCUGAGUAAAUGGUUUACAGAUGAUCGGAAUAAAUCGUCCCUGAAAUUUUCUGUAAGUUUAAAAUAUUUCAAAAUAAAAAGUGUAAAAGGGUAAGAAAAUUAUUAACAACAUGUUCAAUGAAAAGACCCAAAUCACUCGUUGAGAUUUUGGGGUCCCAUUUCAAUAUCAUCUAACAUUGACCAUGGUCAUCUCUGGAAGGGGAGAUUCUGAGUGUGCUUCUUAGAUGAAAUUUUCCUUUGAUUUAUGUGUAUUUGCCAUUAUGUGAGGUUUUUACUUUUGAAAUCCAGUUUCAGGUAGAGGUAAUAUUUGCAUUCUGGGGAAAAAGCUUCUGGUCAUGGUUAUUAAUCUUUUACUUAUUGCUUUGCUUUAUUUUCUGUAGCUAUUCCACUGUGUUGCUUGGCUUUCAUUAAUUUUGUUUUCAGAUGUGCAGUUGACAAACACCUUUCCUUCUCGCGGUAGCUUUGCGUCUAAAGUGACACUGAUUGUAAGUGGAGUGCAUGCAAAUCCCCUACCUGGUGGGUUAUGAGGAACUAGGGCUCCAGAUAAAAGUAGAGAUGACUUUGGACCACAAAUCCCCCAACUUGCCAAGUAAGCCAGAAACUCUUCAGAUGUUCCCUAAGGAAGGGGGCGCGGAGACUUGCGGGAAACGGAGUCUGGAAUUUGAUGGAUCGCCUCGGGAACGCCCCGGAACCGGUCUUUGGCAGCCCCGUCUGCGCAUGUGCAGACUUCCUUCUUCCUUACUUCUGUCUCUGAUCAGCGUGGAGCCUCCGCGUCUACGCUUAACUCAGCGACCAGGUGCUGCACUAACGAUGUGCUCCGCAGGUGACAGCUUAGCUUGGAGGGUUGCUUUGCGGGGCUUGGGGUAGGUUUGUGUUCACAGCCUGUGGAAGCAAAAACUUGGGCAAAUCCCACGCGGGUUGAGACCCUAUGGCACUUGUUCCCGAGUCUGCCCUGCAUCUGUCCGUCUAGAAAGCAAGUGAUGGAGGAGGAGGUCCGCUGCGGACCUGCAGGUUCCACGAAGAAGAUAAGGGCGGAGGGAACAGGUUUCCUGAUCAGAAUAAAGGGCUCCGGGAAAAGGCAUUAACAUGUUAAAGAGCUGUUUCCAGAAGCUCUUCUAAUUCGCAGGUGCCCUGGGCAACCAUUCAUCAGCUGGUCAAACCCACGAGUCCAGCGGGGAUGAGAACAAUUCUUAAAACGUUUACUUUAUGCUAUACUAUCAUUCCUACCUUAGCAAGCCUAUUGCAGAUGCAGAGACUGAGUUUGAAAGUAAGAUGAGUUUAUAUCCUAGCUCUGUCACUGGAUCUCCAUGAACACAGUGUUGAACCUAAACUCUAAGACUCAAUUUCCCCAUCUGUAAAAUGAAGUUAUUUAUAAAACCUGCUUCAGGGUCGUUCUGAGUGCUGAAUAAGAGAGCACCUCUAAAGCACUCUGCACAGGUCCUGGCAUUUUCUAAGCACUCUGGAAAUGUGGCUUCCUUUCCCACUGUUCUUUUCACUCGGUGUAUCAUUUGAUUCUCAAAGACCCCCUGUAAAGUCGGUGUUACCCACCCUAUUUUAACUGAGAAGAAAACCAAGACUCUGGAGGUGAAGUCACAUGGCUAGCAAGUGAAGGAUCUGGGAUGCAAGCCUCAGUUUUAUUUCCAAAUCGCAUGCUUCACAGCACUUAGCAGAGUGGCAUGUCUCUAUGGGCCAACCGGAGUGUGUAAGGACUGAGCCUUCCCUUAAGGAUCUUGGAGAUUUCUUGGUAUCUCUGCAGAACCCUGGGGAUACUGUGUAACUGAGGCCUCUGGGAACCUCAAGGUCCAUCUGUCUGUGCCCUCCGCAGUUCUCAGGUUCCCAAGGGAGAUUUGCAGGCAGUGGUUCUCAAACUCGCAUGCAUCAGCAUCACCUGAAGGGCCUGUUAAACCCCACCCCACGACUGGGCCCCACCCCCAGCGUUUCUGAUUCAGUAGGUCUGGGGAGAGACCCAAGAAUAUGCCUUUCUAUUUAGUUCCCAGGUGAUGCUGAUGCUGCCGGUCCAGGGUCCACACUGAAAGCCUCUGUUGUAGGAGAUAGUGAACUCCAAGAGAGAGUUGGAACCGGCUGAAGGUCCCAGUUAUCUGAAUUUAUUCCCUCUCUCCCCAGCCAGGGUCACCCUGCUUCUGUGAGGAGGGAACGCCAGAAGCAGGAAUCUCGCCUGGGAGGUCCCCACCCUCUGAUAAAACACACACAGCUGCACCAAGGACGUCCGGAAAACAGGCAAGUCUGUAAGCGCUUGGUCUUGAAGCAAUUCCCAAUUCUUUUGCCCUGAAUAACUCAUCAUCUCGAGGUUGCCAAGAACCUUCGGUCAAUGAAGGUGUGGGCCAGCUGUCACAGGACAGAGGUGAGCUGGGCUGAGGAUGGAGAGCUGGACUGAGGAUGGUGGGCAGGAGGCCAGCUGCGGGGGAGGAGGAACUCCCAGGUGAGGACCUGGUGCACAUGACGGGGAAGAUACUGUCGCCACUCCUCUCGAAAACUCCUCCCAUGCCCCUAAUUCUUCAGCCCCUCUUCCUAGAUUCUGCAGAGCCCUCAAACCCCACCCAUCUCCACAUCUGGAAUUUAGGGACAUGCUACCCACUACCUACUCUUGACUUUAUAGGAGUACGGGGAAGCUUUUCAGGGGUUAUGUAAUUGUGCCUCAUUUUAAAAGUGAAAAAUAUUAACACAGUGCUCAAGUGAAUGGAUCUGGAGCCGGACUGCCCGGGUUCAAAUCCCAGCUCCACCACAUUGCUCAGUCUUCCCCUCACUUUCCUCUUCUAUGAAAUAGAAGUCAUAAUAGUAGCUAUGCUUGGCUUUCUUUUAAAGAUUAAAUGAAGGAAGACAUACAAAGUACUUAGAACAAGUCCUGUUGUAUAGUAACUACUAUACAAGUAUUGUCAGUAUCUUUUUUUUUUGAGAUGGAGUCUCACAGUGUUGCCCAGGCAACACUAUGAAGGAGAGAAACACUAUGAAUGUAAUGAAUUUGGAAAAUUUAGCAAGAAAUUAAACUUUACCCAACAUCAAAGAAUGUACACAGGAGAAAAACCUGACAAGUGUAAAGACAAUGAGAAAGCCUUGAAGAAGCUAUACCAUACUCAAAAUGAGAGAACUCAUGCAGGAGAGAAAAUCUAUGAUUGUAAGAAGUGUGGGAAAUUCUUUCAUGAAAAAGCAUGCCUUACUCAACAUCAGAGAACCCAUACAACAGGAAAACCCAGCAAGUGUAAUGAUAGUGAAAGAGUCUUAAAGAAGGAAUCUUGCCUCACUCCCAAUCAGAGAAUUAAAACAAGAUUAAAACAAGAGAGAAAAACUGUAAAGGUAAUAAAUGUGAGAAACCUUUCUUUGAGAAGUUGAAACACACCCAACAUCAGAGAAGGCACUUGGGGAAAAAAAUAAUGGGUGUAAUGAAAGUGGGGGUGCCUCAAGUAGGAAGUCACAACUUACACAAAGCCAGAGAGCUCACAAAAAGGAGAAAACCUAUGACUAUAAUAAAUGUGGAGAAAGCUUCCAUAAAAAAACAGAUCUCAGAUAGCAUCAGAGCACACAC